UUGUUGUUGUUGUUUUACAAUAAAUUAUCAUCCUACUAAUCAAUUAACUUAAAUAUAUUUGAAAUAAUUUUAUACAUAAAAAUAAAAAAGAUAAAUAAGAUUGAAAAAUAAAUGAAAGAUAGAGGGCCAUAUGUGUGGAAAUAUGUGUGAUGACAUUAUGAUAAAUUUCUUCAAUGACAUUGCUUGUAAUUAAAGAGAAAAUAAUGAUUUUUUAUUCAAACUUUUGAUGAAGUUCCGAAGUCAAAGCACAAAAAAUAAUUGAAUUGAACUUAUAAUUUAUUGUAAUAACCAAAUUAGCCGUGGAGAAAUUUGUUUUGUCAUUUCCAUCGUAGAAAAUCUUGUCUUUGAACGGCCCCUUCUUAAGAAAUUAGAAUUGAACAUGUGUUUCAAGUUGAGGAGGCUUGAAUUUUCGAAUGGUAUGCUUAGACAAUUAAUAGUCCAUUCUGGCAAGAGUUUGAUGGAAAUUGGGAUAGACACUCCAAACCUGUUGGAGAUCCUAAAAUUGAUCUUCUCUGCAGGAAUCAUAUAUCCAGUUAAGACCCGACUAUCAUCUUAACACAGUUUGGUUUCAAAUAAGUGAAUUUAUUGGCUCUUUAUAUCGAUUCAACUGACAAAUACAUUCAUCGUUGAAGAACUGAAUGGAACAUUGUCCUGCCCACUAUGUAUUGUGAACCAUUUGAAGACACAAAAAGUUACGCAAUCUCUAAAUUUUGAAACUCUGUUAGAUGGUUACUUUGGUCUUGUCGUCCAGAGACUUUUGUCAUUUGUCAGAAGAAUCUGGGAGGAGAAUGAAAAUUUUGUUUAGGUGAAUGUGAUUUUCCCUAUUUAUGCGUAUAUAAGAUUUUCUUUUUUGUUACAACGUAAGAUGAAUAUGGCAGUACUUGAUUUUUCAUUCUUGUUGUGCUUUCGUUACAUCUCUUGAGGGAGAAACUAAUCGAAAGAGAGAUUGUUCCUGCCUGCUGUGACUCUGAGACAUAUCAAAUGUUGGAGGCACUAUCUUAAAGAAAUUGAACUUCAGAGCUCAUACACAACCAUCUCGGUCAAUUGUCAUAGUAGAAUAGAACUCCACAUUCAGAACAUAAUGGUUGAAACAGAAUCUCGAAUCUACCUCUAUUAGUUGUUAUGCUUGUGUCUGCCUGUUUUUAUAAACCGAGGGUCUACUGAAAGCUUUUCUACCUCUAUGAGGUAACGGUAAAGGUCUGCAUAUAUUCUAUCCUCUCCGGACUCCGCUUGUGGGAUUACAUUGGGAUGUUGUUGUUGUUGCUUGUGUCUACAUUUUGCAAAAUUAUUAUAAUGUUAUGAAUUUACUGACAGUUCUUCAAAACUUGAUUUUGUAUUAAUCCUUGUGGAUGUGAAGGCACCUUAUUGACAACAUUUUUUCCUUACUGCGAUUAUUAGUCAUUAGAUUUAUUUUCUCUUAAGGUGAUAAAUAUAAAUCCGAGGUAGUGGAUACAGUUCAAAAGUUGAAUGAAGAAACUUUCAUAACGAACUUUGAUAUAUCACAUCAAAUAUAGAUUAAAAGUACUCAUCAAUGUUUGCUUCAGCUUGUAUGCUUUGCAAUGCUCAAGUAUGAUUUUGAUUUAUACGGGUAAUGUUGGAUUUUUUUUUUUAAAAUAAAUUAAUUAAAAGUUUUUUAAUGAAAUGGUGCCUUAAGUGAAAGGUUGUGUUUUUUUACGAAAAGAGAUGUUUUUUAGUGAAGAUGUGCCUUUUAGAUGAAGAGGUAUCUUUUAAGUGAAAACUUGUGUUCUUUUAUUACCAUUUCUCUUUAAAUAAACUUUGUUGAAAUAUUUUUAAUAGAGAAAAAAAAAAAAAAAACCUUCCCAAAGAGUAAUAUUUUCGUCACAAAAGAUCAAGUAUUAAAUUUUUUUGCUUUUCAAUAGGAUUAUUUCACUAUUUGCUUGGUGUAGAAAUUCAAAGACUUGUCAUAUCCACUGAAACUAAUUGUAUAGAAUCCCAUAGCAAUCUCGUUGAGGAGAGGGAGCAAAUAUUGUUUUUAAGAAAGUGUUUCGUGCAUGUUUCAAGCCUCAUAAUUUUGUAUUUUUCUUUAUAUAUUUUUAUGUGUUCGUGGAACAUAUUUUCGAACAAUCUAAAAAUGUUAUUUUAAGUGAAGGAAGAAGGCAUUGACUGAUUUGGAAAGUUCAAGAUUGUGAACUGAUGACAUUCCUAGAGCUUCAUUGCCUCGAAUAAUAAGGCUUGAGGACAGGAAAUGUUGUUUUCAACUAUAUGUACGAUAACAAUAAGUUGCAGCGAACAGAAGUGACAGAUCGAGGACUUCAUCACCUGUCCUUUCUGCUUGGUAAAAUGUGCCGGUUUUAAGGGUUUGAGACUAUCACUUAUGCUCAUCCCACGAUCUGUUAAACUUUGAAUUUUGGGUUGGUAAAUGAAGAAUAUCAAGCUGUAAAUGUAUCUGUGAUGACAAGUGACAUUUCGAGAUCUGAGAUUGUUUCUGACGGCGUGGAGACAGACAUUCUUCACUUCUUCAAAAGCUAUUGUUCUUUUGUUUACAGAAUAGUCACGUCGUUUCAUUAUAAGAACAUAAUCUUUUGUUCUUCAGGUGGUGAAUUUUGUGGUGUCGGGGACAUAUUUUGGCACAAGUGCUUCAAAGAGAAAUUUUAAAGAUGAUCCACUGUUUCAACAUUA